UUUUCAGCGAGAAUCUUGAAUAUCUUAAUAUCUCCUCCGCUACCACCUCUGUAAUAUUCGUACUUGAAUACAAACGUACAUCCAGCGUCUCCUGGAGUUCGACAAAUACGAGCUCCGGUCUCUUGAUCCUUCUCUGGAUCCUCUACGACUUUAUUUACCUAUUUAAUUGGAAAUUGCAAGCGCAUGAACUAACGCUCCGUGAAACUUAUAUUUCUAGAGAAUACUGGCUUACGAUAUCUAUCUCAUGCAGACACGCGUCGCACUUUCCAUUUCCAGCAAAAGGCCCGGUUCCGUACACCAUGCAUUCGACGCAGUUUUUCAGUUCCUCGCAUCGUUGUCCAGGACAUAGGACACUCUUCGCAGUACUGUCCAGAAUAUCGAAUGUUGUCUUUUUCAUGACAAUGACAGCUACCGCAAAUGCAGUCCCCGCGUCCACUGCAAACCUCCAUGGUUUCGCCGUUGCUUGGUAUGCAUGUGCUAUUCGUUUCUUUGCAAUCGCACGUCUCACCGCCCCAUCCCGGCAAGCAAUUGCAAGUCCCGCACUCGCACUUGCCUCGCCCGCCGCAAACCUUAAACGCAACAACGUCAGACGGAAUAAUAGAAUACACGCAAACGCGUGUAAUUUAUCUACCGUCUACCUGAAAGGUACUGUACAGGUUUCCUUAAAAGGGAAAUUACCCGAGCAACUUCAUCGUACGAAUAAACGAUUCCGAAGUGAGUUUACGAUACGCGAAUAUACGUUCAGUCCGUAGCUGAUAACACGAGCUGGGUGAUUGCCGAUUCUGAUUACGCCUGUGUUCAUUGUACAAUUUCUAUACCGUACGUGAAAUCGUUUAGCUGUCAUCCUUCUCGUAUCUUAAAAUAUCUUUCGCUAACCAUUGAAAACCAUCUUUGUCCCUGUAUUUUCUAUAUCUUGCACGCAACACCAGAGUGCUGCCGCUUCACCCAUUGCGACACAUAUCAAAAAACAAUUGUUAAAGAUAAUGGUUUAAAUAUCGAUGAAUCUUCGAAUACAACUGUUCGUACAAUUGAGUCUAUAGGUUUAUAUUUAAUAAGUCCAUAGUCAAUGUGUCAUUGAAGCAAGCGUUCACUUACCAAUCCCUCGCUGCGUUUGCAAGAAAAGUUAUCGCACUCGCAAUAUUUCCCAUAAAAAACUUCUUGCGGAUUAGGACGCUUCACGCAAUCACAUACACCGCACUUGCAGUCUCCAUGGCCGCUACAAAUCUCAGUGGUCUCGUUGUUAGGCUUGCAGUCGGCCAUGGCAGCUGCGCUCUCAGCGCCGGCAUCGUUCCCUUCGCAUUCACACUGCUUCCCGUAAAAGCCCUCGUUGCAAGAACAUACACCGCAAACCAAAGUACCGUUUCCUCUGCAAUCUUCCGAAGCUGCCACGUAUCCCUACAUUUUCAUUCGAGACGCGUGAAAGAAGUUUAAACGAGAGAAAUCGCGCUCAAUCGUCAUUCUUACCGGAUGUUCUGGAUAUCCGCAAGGACAAUCGCAGAUAAUGCUCAGCUCAAUCGUCAAGCUCUCGUCUAUACCUCUCGGCUUUAUCUGCAUACUUGUCUGCCAUUCGCUGGAAUUCGCUGGACAUUCAGUCGCCUA
rnacentral:misc_RNA from 1 species